rnacentral:lncRNA from 1 species
AUAAAUCCAAACUGGUUUUUCGAAAUAGACACUAUCCGUCUCAGCCUCACCUCGACCACUCUCUCCCAAAUCUUCAUAGAGUGACUCAAUAACUUAAUCCCCCUAUAGUUAUUGCAACUCUGGAUGUCACCCUUAUUCUUAUAGAGAGGGAUCAUGGUACUCCACCUCCAAGCCUCGGGCAUCUUUGCCGUCUUGAAGAUUUCAUUAAACAAUCCAGUCAACCACCUUACACUAGCCUCUUCAACGAACUUCCAAAACUCCAUCGGUAUCUCGUCCAGCCCCGUCGCCCUACCCCUUCGCAUCCUGCGAACAGCCUCUCUAACCUCUUCUACCUUAAAACGUCUACAGUAGCUAAAAUCCCGACACUCCUCUGAGUGCUCCAGUUCCCCU